rnacentral:rRNA from 1 species
AUGGCGACGUAUCACGCCGAUUUCAUCAGUAACCUCCCCGACGAGGUCCUCGGCACCAUCGUCUCCCUCCUCCCAACCGAGGAGGCUUGUCGCACGCAGGCGCUCUCCCGCAGGUGGCGCCCCGUCUGGAGCUCCGCGCCACUUAACCUCGACGUCGACAUACCCGAAAACACGAUCUCCCACAUCCUCUCCCGCCACCUCGGCCCAGUUCGCCGCAUCUACAUCACCAUCAAGCCCCUCUCCUACCGCUACCGCCACGACGACGCCAGCGAUGCCAAGGUAGACGGCUGGUUCUGCUCCAGGAUCCUCACCUACCUACAGGAGCUCCUGCUCGUCUACAAUAGUAACAGCAACGGCAGCGAUGUGCUUCCGCUGUCGGUGUUCCGCCGCGCGCCCGCCCUUCGUGUGGCCGGGUUUGGCCGCUGCCGUCUCCCGCCCAACCUAGCGGUGGACUUUCCGCUCCUCCAGCAGCUCACCAUACGAGUGGAUGCAUAUUCUCGCUUUGUCAAAGUCCAAGAGCUCGUAAUUGAUGACGCCCCCUGCCUCGAGAGAUUGCUUCCACUCAACUAUGGUCCGGCAACCAUCCGGGUAAUUCAGGCUCCUAAACUGGAGGUACUGGGUCCAUUGAGCACAGGAAUAUCAGAACUCCACCUUGGAACAACAGUAUUUCAGAAAAUGGUUGCCACUAGCUUAAAAACCACAAUUGACACGGUGAAGGUUUUGUCCCUUGAUCAUGUGGGCUCGGGUUUGGAUGUUGUUCUUGGCUUCCUCAAGUGCUUCCCCUAUUUGAAGAGGCUAUAUCUCGUACUAGACCCACUGGAGAAAAUAAAAACUGGGAGCAACUAUGCUUCACUCGCAGAGCCAAUUGAAUGUCUUGAGCACCAUCUAAAAAAAGUCGCAUUGAAGUUCUACCAGGGCAAUCCUCUACAGGCUGAUUUUGCCAGGUUCAUUAUUAUGAAUGCCAAAGUGCUAGAGAGAAUGGAAUUCGGACUCGUUGAGAGGUCAUUCAAUGGUUGCGACAACGACAACUGGAGGCCCAGCCCACGGCGGUCCCCUAUAAGAAUCCACCGCACGGAGGCGAAAGCCCACGUCCGACACCUUCACCUGUUCGUUCCCGGCGUCGGCGAUCACACCGCGAACAUGGCGACGGAUCUCAUCAGCAAGCUCCCAGACGCCUGGCUCCGCGCCAUCGUGACCCUCCUCCCCGCCAAGGACGGCUGCCGCACCCAGGCGCUAUCCCGCCGGUGGCGCCACAUCUGGCGCUCCGCGCCGCUCAACCUCGACGACGGCAUACCCGAGAAGACCGUCUCCGGCGUCCUCUCCGGCCACCUUGGCCCCGUCCGCCGCGUCUGUUUUACCAGCAUUGCACACCGCACUUACCGCUACUACCACCGCACGGGGCACCAGAUCAUCGACAAGAACGGCGAUCCAAGACUAGACGACUGGUUCCGCCGCUCCAGGGGCAUCGCUUACGUCGAGGAGCUCCAGCUCGUCUAUAGCUACCGUAGCUAUGGCAGCGACGUGCUGCCACUGUCAGUGUUCCGCCGCGCGCCCGCGCUCCGCGUGGCCACGUUCGGAUGCUGCCGUCUGCCGCCCAAUCUCGCAGUCGAUUUCCCGCUCCUCCAGCAGCUCACCCUUUGCAAUGUCACCCCAACGGAGGAGGCUCUGAGCGCGGUGCUCGCUGGCUGCCCUGCGUUGAAGAGCCUUCUGCUGGACAAUACUGUGGGCUCUACCAGCCUCCGCAUCAGCUCUCCUGCUCUCAGGAGCAUCGGCUUCUGUGCUCGUCAGGAGACAGAAGAUCACCCUUACUCUCGCAUUGUCAAAGUCCAGGAGCUAGUUAUUGAGGACGCCCCUUGUCUCGAGCGGUUGCUGCCACUCAAUCCAGUCUAUGGUCCGACGACCAUCCGGGUAAUCGGUGCCCCUAAGCUGGAGAUAUUGGGUCCCGUGAGCAAAGCCGUAUCACAGCUCCACCUCGGGACAACAGUUUUUCAGGAAAUGAUUGCUGUUAGCUUGACAACCAGAAUGCACACGGUGAAGGUUUUGGCUCUUCAUCAUGUCGGCCCCAAUUUAGAUGCAGUUCUUGACUUACUGAAGUGCUUCCCCUGCUUGCAGAGCCUUUACAUCGUGUUGGAUUAUUCAUGGCGGCUCCCCCAUGGGUUACAUAAAAGCGAGUUGUACCCUGCAAAGAACAUAAAUAAUGCGUCAUUGGACUAUCCAAUUGAAUGCCUUGAGCACCACCUAAAGAAAAUGGCGAUGAAGGUCUACUAUGGCAAAGGUCCAGAAAUUGAUUUUGCAAGGUUCUUUGUUUUGAAUGCCAAAGUGCUAGAUAGAAUGGAAUUUGGAAUCGUUGAGAAAUCAAUUUUCGGCAGCAACAAAGAAGAAUGGCUGACCAACCAAUACAAGCAACUACGAGUUGAAGACAGAGCUUCUCACGAUGCUCGAUUUGCAUUCAAAAGGUUUUCUUGGAAUACAUGGAACUAUAACAAUCGUAUCCAUGAUCUAUCAAUGGCUGAUCCGUUUGAUGCCUCCUUCUUGGAUGGAUAUAUUACCCUUUGA